GUGUAUUUCCCACCCCAGCCCGCUAGGUGGCUGUACCUACACUAGUUGCCAACGGUUGCCAACUGCUAGUAACGGAAGAAGAAGAGGAAAAACUUUGAGGCAACAACAAUUUGGAUUUCACGGAGGCGUGAUUGGCGCGCAUGACGGAGAGCUAGUUAGAUGGUGGACCUACCAACUGGAAAGAGUGAGCGUUUUACAGCUGAGGAGACGGAUCUCCUCGUGCGGGAGGUGAAGGCCUGUCAGAACCAGAUCUACGGGGACAGCAGACAGGCACCCAAGCUACCCGAGGUAAAGCAGGCGUGGGAUCACUAAUACAAGAAAGAUCUUACUAAAUAUCUGUGGAAUAUUAUUCAAACCUGUUUUCAUCAUAUAACAGAGCACAGCUGUCAGGACUGCCGCGGAGCUCCCCAAGGUGCUGAUCCUGCAGCUAGGACCUGUUCAGCGUUUUCUCCCCCACCCACGUUUGUUAAUUGUUUUCACAUGUUUCCUAGAGCUGUGUUCUGCCUCUUAUUUGCAUGUGUGUCCUCUCUACACUCAGAUAACAAUAUAAUAAUAUAAUAUAAUGUAGCCUAGUAUAACAUGUUAAAAUAAAUGCAAUGUGUGGGCUUUGGUUUUCAAUCAAAAAAAUGAUUGAUUGGUCAGAUAAUUUCACAAUUUCAUUUGUCAUUAUUACAAAUUAUGAUGAUCAUUAUUACUGCGAUUAGAUCAUUCUGAUUAAUGACUGACCAUUAAGACGUGUUUCUGAUAAAUAUU